GGUGAAGAUCUCAGGAGUGAGAUUAAAAAUGAAUGAGGAGAGUUGGAGUAGUUUGUCUAAGGUGGGAUUGAGAGAGACUAGAUGGGGGAGGUUUAACAAAAGGCAUUGAUGUUUUAAAUGCACAGAAAUGCCACCCAUCAAUAAUAAAUGGUGUGGCAUUGAACAGAUGUGCCAAAUUGAGUUAUUACUGUGUGUGGAUCAGUUAGUGGAGGGGAAGCAAACAGCACAGCCGGUGUUUUACAGCGUAGUGAAAACCUCUGUACAAACGUAAAUGCCCAUUUUAGGCCCUUGAUGGCUGCUAAAUGGAAAUUUUUAAAGUUUGGAAUUUGUAAAACAUUCCAAUGAAUUUUUGUAUAUUUCUGAAGUAUGAAUUAUUACUAUGGACGCAUGAGUUUGCUUUUCUGGAAAGGUAGAUAUCUGGAACGGAGUUCAUGCUGCUCACGGCCGAGUGCUCGCUUGUCGAGAGCUUGUGUUGCAGUCGUCCUGAGGACAUUGCACUUCAAAACUCGAGUCGUGUGCAACUGUUACCCAGAGUUUCUCUACAUCUAGGUCCCUGCUCUGUACACUUACAUACAGAGGCCCUCUCAGGAACCCUUUCUCGUGCUUUGAGAUUGUCUCAUCUGUUGAAAUAGGAGCAGCGGGGCUGCGUCCCCAACACCCCAGCCGCUUGGCUAGCUCAUGCCCGAAAUAACAACACACAAACUGUAUUCAUUUAAGAACUGCUUGGCCCGGCUAGUUCCAGAUUCUUAUUGGCUAGCUCUUACAUAUUGUUCUAACCCAUUUCUAAUAAUGUGUGUAAGCACCCCAAGGUGCGCUUACCUGGAAGAUUCUAGCCUACUCGGAGGAGCUUCAUUGCGUGCAUCUGCCCGGGAGAGCUGAGCAUGGCGCUGAGCAGUCUGACCUCACUUCCUCUUCCGCCCAGCAUCCUAUUCUGUUUCCUCCUCCCAUCUAUUAACCUAUCAGGGCCAGCAGUUUCUUUAUUGCUCAGCCAAUGAAAUCAACAGAUUGAUAUGACACUCCCACAUCACUCAUCCCCCUCUGCAUGUGGAUUCAACAGAUAGUUCUACACACAUCCCCAAGAAAGAAAUAUUACAGUUUAUCAGAGAGGAAGUCAACUUCAAACAAUGAGUAAGCAAAAAUCUGUAAAGUAGAGGAGAAUAUUUAACAGGUAGAAAACACCAGUUUCCCAUGUGUCUGCAUAGCACAGUGUGUAAGGUGUUUGUGUAAGUAAGUCCUGCAUUGCAGAGUGUGUAAGGUGUUACAGUGAGUCCUGCACAGCAGUGUGUAAGGUGUUAGUGAGUUCUGCAUUGCAGAGUGUGUGUUAGUGAGUUCUGCAUUGCAGGACUGGAAUUGCUGUGCACAAUGACAAAAAAAAAAAAAAAAAAAAAAAAAAAAAAAAAAAAAAAAAAAAAAAAAAAAAAAAAAAAAAAAAAAAAAAAAAAAGAUUAAA